rnacentral:rRNA from 1 species
GUGCCUACAUCCGUGGCAAUACCGCUGGUGUGAGCGUUAAUCGGAUUUAUUGGUGGUACAGCGAGUGUAGGUGGCUCAUUAAGUCACAUGUGAAAUCCCCGGGCUUAACCUGGGAACUGCAUGUGAUACUGGUGGUGCUAGAAUAUGUGAGAGGGAAGUAGAAUUCCAGGUGUAGCGGUGAAAUGCGUAGAGAUCUGGAGGAAUACCGAUGGCGAAGGCAGCUUCCUGGCAUAAUAUUGACACUGAGAUUCGAAAGCGUGGGUAGCAAACAGGAUUAGAUACCCUGGUAGUCC